CUGCCCUCACCUCAUCAAGUUUAAAAGAGUUGCAGACGCCUUCUUCUGCCCCAAAUCAGAAUGUGGAAGUGCUGGCAUAUCAGCUGGACAAAUACAUAAGGACCACCGAGGAAAUCUGUGAGAAGUUAGAGAAAAGUUCCUUCUGUCUUUUGCCCAAAGAUGAACUACGAUACACUGGUAGACCUCGCUGUGGAUUUGUCUGAAGACGACACACAAAGGAUGCUUCAUCACAUUAAUCAGCUCGAGGAACUCAGGUACGUGUAACUCCUUUAUGUGGUUUUUGUCAACACAGCUGUGCAAGGUCUGAUGAUAAUGAAAA